rnacentral:lncRNA from 1 species
UGGAGUUUCUUCAAAAACAGAGUUGGUUGGGCUUUACAAUCUUCACAUAUUACAGCUCUACACAAAGGACGUAGACAUUAGUCACCAGGCAUAAGCUGGGAUGAUCAAAUCACUACAGAGUUCCUCUGCCAUGCUUUAUACCCACACUGAGUACCGUGGAAAGAUCUGGAGACUGCUGUGAGUGAGCACAUUGCAUCUUGGAGCAGGUCAGCUUUGUUCAUCCAGGGAGAGACAGUGUGAGUGGAGGUGCCACCCACUGGAAAGCAUAGACUCCCCUGAGUCUAAAGCCACGUGUGGGUGCCCAAACACCAGUGAUGCGCUUCCCUAGGAAACUGAUUUUGACACUGUCAUUGUGAGCAGGUCUCCCAGGGAUAUCAACCGAACCCAGCGUAACAAGAUGCAAUAAGACCAGGCACAAGCACUCCUAUCAAGGCUGGAUGAGGCAACCCAGGAGGAGGAAAACGUCCCAAGACCAGACACAAGAGUCAGAGAUGCUCCCACUCACCCUGUUAGGAGUCCCACGGAAACCAAGCUACAAACAUGACGUAAAUGUAGAGGACCUAGCUCAGACCUAUGCAGGCUCUGUGAUUGCUGCUGCAAUCUCCGAGAGCCCCAUGAGUCCUGCUGAUUUGAUCUUGUGCUUCCUUCCUCCCCUCUCCUGUGGUCCUUCCUCCCCUCUUCCAAGGAGUUCCCCGAGCUAGGCCUAAUGAUUGGCUGUGGGUCUCUGCCUCGGUUCCCAUCAGUUGCUGGUUGAAGCCUCUCUGGUAAUGAUUGGGCUAGACACCGAUCUAUGAGUAUAGCAGAAUAUCAUAAGAAACCAUUGACACCCCCCUUCCAAUGGCCUUUAACUUCAAGGUGCUAGGAGACACACCAAGGCAGGUUUUGAUGGGCUGAGCUCAGGCCUACAGGGCUCCACUGAGGCCUCAGUGUGGCAGAACAUUGGCCAGCUGUUACCAGGAGCAUGGAAGACCAUGUUCCCUCCUGUGUAGACAGAGAGAAUAUUGUUUUGGUUUUAUGCUGGUCAAAAGUCUUCAUGAUCUGCUUGCUUGCUUCUCUUGUUGCCAAAUUCCUGGGUAUUCUGCCAAGGACCUCCUGCCAUAUUGGAGGAUGAUUAUUUAAGCCCCCUUGGACUGACAGCAAAAGUCUAAAUGCCUCCCUGCUUGGAGAUAAAACAUGUGCACACCUUUGGAUUGUCACGGGAUGUAUGAAAAUAGUUUAUUAUUAACUGGAUGCAUUCUCAUAUUCUCUCCCCCCAACCCCCUACUAGUCCAGGGCCUCUUGCAUGGUGGGUGAGCACUUACCACUUAAGCCAAUCCCAGCCCCCUUUUCUCUUUUUAAAAACACAAUAAAUAGGAGCCAAGUGGUGGCCCACACCUUCAGUCCCAGCACUCAGGAGGCAGAGGCAGCAGAUCUCUGAGUUCAAGCCCAGCCUGGUCUACAGAGUGAGUUCAUGUCUACACAGUAAAAUCUGUCUAAAAAAGAAAAAAAAACCCUGAAAUAUAUAUAUCUGUACAUACAUAUAUACAUACAUGCAUACUUACUUACAUACAUGAAUAACUGUCAUUGCUGUUCAGGAUCUCUGAAGAGGAGAAACCACUUCCUGGGCAGUAGGGUAGGCUUGGGGCAAACAAGACGGGUUGAGAGUCACACAGCCCCAAGAGAAAAGGAGGUUUAAGAAGCCUUGACUCGUUUGCAAUGUCCCAUGCCAUUUCGGAUCUAAAAGGUUUUAAUGGGAAGACACAGGGAUGCUAUUCUAGUUUGGAAAUGUGCAUGGGAGAUUCUUGUAAUCGUUAGUAGCACUUUGUUUGAUUUGUAGUUCCAGGUUAGCACAAAAUAAAACUUAAGCCAUCUGCGUGC